UUCCGGUUGAUCCCGCCGGACCUGACUGCUAUCGGAUUGAUACUAAGCCAUGUGAGUCAUUGCAGUAAUGCAAGGCAGACGGCUCAGUAACACGUAGUCAACCUAACCUAUGGACGGGGAUAACCUCGGGAAACUGAGGAUAAUACCCGAUAGAACAUUAUACCUGGAAUGGUUUAUGUUCCAAAUGAUUUAUCGCCAUAGGAUGGGACUGCGGCCUAUCAGUUUGUUGGUGAGGUAAUGGCCCACCAAGACUAUUACAGGUACGGGCUCUGAGAGGAGUGGCCCGGAGAUGGGUACUGAGACACGGACCCAGGCCCUAUGGGGCGCAGCAGGCGAGAAAACUUUGCAAUGUGCGAAAGCACGACAAGGUUAAUCCGAGUGGUUUCUGCUAAAGGAACCUUUUGUCGGUCCUAGAAACACCGAUGAAUAAGGGGUGGGCAAGUUCUGGUGUCAGCCGCCGCGGUAAAACCAGCACCUCAAGUGGUCAGGAUGAUUAUUGGGCCUAAAGCAUCCGUAGCCGGCUCUGUAAGUUUUCGGUUAAAUCUGUACGCUCAACGUACAGGCUGCCGGGAAUACUGCAGAGCUAGGGAGUGGGAGAGGUAGACGGUACUCGGUAGGAAGGGGUAAAAUCCUUUGAUCUAUUGAUGACCACCUGUGGCGAAGGCGGUCUACCAGAACACGUCCGACGGUGAGGGAUGAAAGCUGGGGGAGCAAACCGGAUUAGAUACCCGGGUAGUCCCAGCUGUAAACUAUGCAAACUCAGUGAUGCAUUGGCUUGUGGCCAAUGCAGUGCUGCAGGGAAGCCGUUAAGUUUGCCGCCUGGGAAGUACGUACGCAAGUAUGAAACUUAAAGGAAUUGGCGGGGGAGCACCACAAGGGUGAAGCCUGCGGUUCAAUUGGAUUCAACGCCGGAA
rnacentral:rRNA from 1 species